UGAUGUCAGCCUUUGACCCACCACAUGCCGCCGCCCGCCAAAACACAACGUUGCCAGUCCAGGUUUCCAUGGCAACGGAACGACGCGAGCGCCAUGUUGGUUCUCCCGGCCACUCGUUGCUGCUCCGUCGUACUGCACCGACUGCACGUUGGCGCGGUGUGCAAGCUGCGGUAUGCGCUGCGUCUACCACAUCGCUCUGGACCUAGCUUCUUCCGUGACACCAUCCUCGCGCUAAGUGCUUCUACAAGAACCUUGGAGUGAGAAUGCCAGGGUGCUGCGUGCCGCAAUGCACAACCAUCUGGAGACGGGGUGUGAGAAUGUUCCGGUUCCCGACUUGUCCUAACCGACGGAAACGCUGGAUUGCGCAAGUUAAGCGAGACUGCUGGGAGCCGACUGCUUCCUCCCGUGUUUGUGAGGCCCACUUCGAGGACACAAGCUUCGAGCAAAGGAGGCAGGACGGUUUGAAGAAACUAAGGCCAGAUGCUAUCCCGACGCUGUUUUCUUUUCGCCCUCUUCCAAAGCACAGAUUGCCCCCAAAGAAUCGGGAUGCUGUAUCAAACGUACCGCCUCGGCAUCCAGAUCUC
rnacentral:lncRNA from 1 species